AAAGAGCCAAAACUUCAAGAUAAUGUUACCUGUUGACCUGGAGGAUGAUAUCGUGCCCAAAUAUCUGGAAGACGAGGACGAACAAGAUGGUCAGCAAUCGUCAAAGGUUUGAAUGAAACAGAGGAGGAAAUGCCUCAAGAAACAGUUGAAGAAACAAAAGAACAAGACAGCAUCAGUU